UACGGAGGGUGCAAGCGUUGUCCGGAUUUAUUGGGUUUAAAGGGUACGUAGGUGGCCUUAUAAGUCAGUGGUGAAAUGCUGCAGCUUAACUGUAGCACUGCCAUUGAUACUGUAGGGCUUGAGUGUCGUUGAGGCAGGCGGAAUUUAUGGUGUAGCGGUGAAAUGCAUAGAUACCAUAAAGAACACCGAUAGCGAAGGCAGCUUGCUAAGCGACAACUGACACUAAUGUACGAAAGCGUGGGUAGCGAACAGG
rnacentral:rRNA from 1 species